rnacentral:lncRNA from 1 species
AUGGGGGCCUCCCGCAGAGCCAUGGGGAGAGGUGGGUGCCUCCUCCCCCAGAACUAUGGGGUGAGGCAGCAGCCCCAUGGAGAGCCAUGGGGAGGGAUGGGUGCCCCACAGAGAGCCAUGGGGAGAAGCAGGUGCCCCCUCCCCGAGCCAUGGGGAGAGUUGGGGACCUAUGGGGGGUUGUGGGAAGAGAUGGGUGCCCUCCCGCCGAACCAUGGGGAGAUCCAGCAGCCCUGUGGAGAGCCAUGGGGAGAGAUGGGUGCCCCAUGGAGAGCCAUGAUGAGAAGUGUCCCCCCACUCAGAGCCAUAGGAAGAGAUGGGUGCCCCCACCCCGAGCCAUGGGGACAGAUGGGUGCCCCAUGGAGAGCCAUGAUGAGAAGUGUCCCCCCACUCAGAGCCAUAGGAAGAGAUGGGUGCCCCCACCUCGAGCCAUGGGGACAGAUGGGUGCCCCAUGGAGAGCCAGGACAAGAAGUGUUGCCCCCCGCCGAGCCAUGGGGCGAGAUGGGUGCACCCCGAGCCACAAGGUGAGCCCCAAAGAGAGCCAGGGGAGCCCCUGGCCAGGGGCACAUCUGGGUCCCCUCAACGGGGGGCACAGGGUGCCCGUGGGGCUCAGGUGCCUGGCGCAGGGGGCCUGGCUGUGCGCGGGGCCAGCCAAGCGGUGCCCCGGCCGCACGGCCUCUGCACCCCUGUCCYCCCCGGCGCCCAGCCUGGGGGCACAGACAUGGUCCUGGCUGCUGGGGCCUGCUGGAGUAUGGCCCCCAGCUACGGCCACUGCCACAGCCACCGCCUCCUGUCCCCUGGCCCCUGCAGUGCCCGGCCAGGCUGCGGCCACCAGCCACCGCGGCAUGGAAACCCACCGGGCCAAGAACUGGGCCAAGCCCCGAGCUCGGCGCUGUCCGCAGCGGCACGGAAAUCCUCGGCACGGUGCUCCACGGCACCCGGCCGGGAGCCGGACUGCGUCUUUAAGCACAGUCGCAGGGGGCUCUGCGGCAUUUCGGAGGCAAGCUGAGUCCCGACACGCUCAUAGCACGUGUGGGCAACGCCGGCAGCUGGGACCCGCACCCACCGGCUCUCUCCCGGAGCACCUCGGAGGGCCGGAGCAAACCUCCCCUGGCAGCACCAGGAGGGGCCCACGUUAG